rnacentral:tRNA from 1 species
ACCUAGCUGGCUCAGUCGGUGGCGCAUGAGACUCUUGAUCUCGGGGUUGUGAGUUUGAAUCCCACGUUGGGAG